GCGCUGCAUUAGCUAGUUGGUAAGGUAACGGCUUACCAAGGCAACGAUGCAUAGCCGACCUGAGAGGGUGAUCGGCCACACUGGAACUGAGACACGGUCCAGACUCCUACGGGAGGCAGCAGUAGGGAAUCUUCCGCAAUGGGCGAAAGCCUGACGGAGCAACGCCGCGUGAGUGAUGAAGGUCUUCGGAUCGUAAAACUCUGUUAUUAGGGAAGAACAUAUGUGUAAGUAACUGUGCACAUCUUGACGGUACCUAAUCAGAAAGCCACGGCUAACUACGUGCCAGCAGCCGCGGUAAUACGUAGGUGGCAAGCGUUAUCCGGAAUUAUUGGGCGUAAAGCGCGCGUAGGCGGUUUUUUAAGUCUGAUGUGAAAGC
rnacentral:rRNA from 1 species